GCCAGCUGCAGCUGGAUGUCUGCAAUUUCAGGAACUCCAUGCUGUCCUGAACCUUAUAAUGUAUUUGAUACAACUAGGUGAGACAGGUCAGAACCAGGACAAGGGAGAGGAACGGUCUCAAAAAAACCCAACAUAAGCACUUCUGGAUUCUUGGUGAAAUUUAUCAGGUGGAAUGGUCCUAUAAGAACAUCAUGGUAUCCUCGCCUCCAGAAAAGAGAGAUUGCAGCAGUGGCAGUGGACAGGAAGGAUGGACAGUGUUUGUUAGAGCUCUCCCUCUCCUCAUGCCUUCACUCUCUAUGAAACCAGGACUCUGAGAGGCAAGAGGAGGGAAAAGAACCUUUAUGAAUCAAGAACUCUGGUGUCAUCAAUUCCAGACUGUGAGCUAUUUUGUAAAGUUCGGAUUACUGGGUGUGGGAAGUUGGGAAAGAAGUAACUGGACAAGGAGUCAAGUCACGAUUCACCAGCCUUGGACUACAAUGACAUCAGAAUGCAUACAGUGUAUCUGAUCAUUGGAGUUCCUUCUUUCAAGCACUGAACCUCUGAAGGAACCGAUCCCUGUCCCCUGGAAAGUAGCAAAGAGAAUGAAAAAUGUUCAGAACUUUAAUGGCCACUUUACCCCAUAAGGGGUGGGUGCUCAAGAGAGAGAGAGAAGUUUAUAUAGGGAGGAGGGAAGGUGAUAGAGGUGUGGGGAUGGUUUAUAAUUUUUAAAGGGUACUAAUGAUCUGUCUGUAACCCACUGUUCAGGGUGUGUUAAGGGCACAAAGAGGACGAACAAUACACUGUGACCAUGGGUAUACUACAGGGAGAUGCUGUUGGAGAUUGAUUAUGCAGGAAGAGGAAAAACACAUAAAAGCAAUGAUUGUCGGCUAAGAGUCCUUUGCUUCAGAGGUUAGUGGGAAUAUUAAGGAAUUGUGUGGCAUUCUGGCUAGAUAGGGAAUUCUUGAAAUGAUAAUGGAAACAGAUUUUACACAAUAUAGAACUAAUGGGCUGCUCUUUGCAGGACUCAUGCCUGUGUACUGUUACUGUUUCCCUUCUUGUUUCCCUGCUAGUGCUUUGUCCUGUUGCUGGUAUCUUAAUUUUCAUUAGACAGUGACCUUUUCACGAGUGAGGCCAUUCAUUUGUGUAGAUGAAUUUAUAUAUUUGUGCAGCACUUAACACAGAAGGACAUCCCGAUUCUUAAUCAUAGGAGGCAGGUAAAAGGAGAGGAUGAUUUUUAUGAAAAAAAGAUUCCCUGUGUAUCUAUUUUGUUCUCUUUGAAAUUUAGAAAUUUGAAAACUUUCGUUCAUGUGGGCUAGUAAUAAUGAGGAUGACAGACACUAUACAAGGUAAGAUGCCUUUGUUCUUGCCCUCCCCUUUUCCUGCUGUACCCCUUGUCUUGGCAUGUUCUCGGUGCUUAUAUAGCUUUGUGCUCUGGGUGCUGAUAACUUCUUCACUCCUGACACAUCUCCUUCCAUCAGGUCCCUCACUGCAGCCUCUCUGACUGACAUCUCCUCCUGAAUGUCUCAUUCUUCACUGAAAAUUAACAUGGCCAAACCUCUGCCCCCUUAGUUCCUCUUUAGCUCCACCCUCCGCUCACCUGCUGUUUCCCUGUUGACCACCUUAUUAUCCUAUCUGUCACUUGGACCCAAAACCUAGGCUUGUCUUGGGAGAAUGGGAGGGGAAGGAGACAAAUAUCUAAGUUGGAUACAUAUCCUUACACCUGUCCCUCCACACUAUCUUUAAGAUCUGACCUUCCCUUUCUGUCAUGACAUCUAACCCCCUCAUUCAGACACCCAUUGUUUCCUGACUUCAUUAUUUAAAACUUUUGCUUCCCUGACUGACGCCACUCUCACCCACCUCCAGUCUCUGCUAACUGCCAAGAUGCUCCUACCAUAUCCUUUCUUCUCUGGAUUUCUUCCCUGGCUCCAUCUCCUCCACUACAUCAAGUUAAAAAAUCACAUCCUAAACUCCGCUUUCUGUCUGUCUGUACGACUACUUCUUGCACAACAACGGUCCUUUCUAGCCAUGGAAUCUAUGAAAUCCAUGCAACUGUCUCAGUGGAGCUACAGCACACCCCUAUCUGCAUGAAGGCCUUUCCUGGGCUGGCCCACAAAGCAAUUGUCCUGUCCAAGUUUGUAUCUCUCCUGAAGACCCACUGCUACCAGGAUGAUUACAAGGAAUUAGAUAAUUGCAAAUGGAAAGUAUUAUCAAUACAAAGCCAGUCAUCACCUUAACAAAUUCACUUGUUUUUAUCCCUAACCUAAACUCUGUUUGUCUGGAAAACACAGCAGAACAGUUUUCCUGUGUUUGUACCGCAUUUAGCACAUUGUGGGUGCCAUGGGAAAAUUAAAAUAUGAAAAUAUUUAUGUAUAUGUGACUAUUGCAAAAUGGGCAGUGGCAGUGAAAUCCUUAAAAUAAUAAUACUUUUGGUUAAAUUUUGCACUGUAAUUUUUAUGAAACUUUGAAAGGUAAGGAGGUUAACUCUCUCUCAGCACUUCCCCAUAUCCUUAAACUUUGACUGGCUUUGAACUGUAAAACUCUCUCACACAAACACAUGCACAAAUGUAUACACGCUUACAUUACUGCUUGUUAAUAUUAGAAACAUACUACUUUAUGUGGUAGAUGAGCAUUGUGCCAUUGGAAGGAAUAUUUCCUCUAUAAAAAGAGACCCAUAAAGGCUAAUAUGUGGCUGAAGGCUCAUGUCUACAAAAGUGGUCUAUUUUCUCAUAGGUCAAUGGCGCUUUCCACAUUGGCUUUUAUACCAUGGCUUCCAACAAUUUACAGUUUGUUUCUACAGAAAACUAUUUCUGUCCAGGAAGCUUCUAACAAUCAACAACAAUUGGCAGGAGGGAAGAUAGGGGAAU